rnacentral:tRNA from 1 species
GCCGCGGUAGCUCAGCCUGGCUAGAGCGCGGGACUGUGGGGCAAAGGGUGCAGAGAUCCCGAGGUCCCGGGUUCAAAUCCCGGCCGCGGCC